GUCCACAUAGCUUACACCUAAA
rnacentral:tRNA from 1 species